GUUGGGUGGGGAAGUCAGGAGUGGGGUCUGGCAGCCACACUGACCACUCUAUGCUGGGUCCUACAAACCCAGGAGUCCAAUCCAGGGAUGACUCCAGCCCAAGCACCCAGCACUCAGGACAGUGUUUGGCACAGUCUAUCCCUCUCUUCACGUCUGCCCUGCCCUCAGGCAGCCUUGUGUUGCAGAGGGGCCUCAGAGAGCAGAGCCCAGUUCUCUGAGCAGAUAGGGAAGCUGAGGCUCCCUGCCUGCUACUGGGCACACUGGGGGGGACACUCACCAUCCUGGUGUGGGGGCUUGAAGACAUAACCGUGGUUAUCCAGGCUGCGGCGGUAGAAGCUGGCAUUGAAGGGCUCAGGGUUCUCUGUCCAGUCCUCAGCUGCCCUGGAGCACCCAAGCGGCAGAUUGGCUGGGUGAUGCCUACGUGUUGAGAUCCUGGUCCCUCCACACACGCUCUACCAGCUGCUGCGUGAUGCCCGUGUCCAAGAUCAGGUUGUGCAGAAGAAAGUUGUUGCCUGGAACAGGAGGGGAGGGCUGGGGGUGGGGGUGUCUUCUUGCAGCUCCCUGUCCACUCUCGCCCCCACCCUCAAGGCUCCACCAGGAGCCUCCUCCAUGACCUGGCCCAGGCCCAGCCCUUAGCUUGUGCCUGCUUAUUUCCACACCUCCCCGGCCUCUGGGUUCCUCUGGGCUGGCCCCAUGCUGCCUGGGCACUGCCCAGAGCCAGCUGCUCUGCCAGACACUCACACUGCUUGGAGUCUGGAGUCACUUUCUCCAUGAGCUCAAUAAAGUUUUUCAGGAACUCGG